UAUAAAAUGGUGUAUAGACAUUGAGAAUUUUGAUUUCUUAGGUGGUAGUUAAUUCUACUUUUUAUAG
rnacentral:tRNA from 1 species